rnacentral:rRNA from 1 species
UACAGAGGUCUCGAGCGUUGUUCGGAUUCAUUGGGCGUAAAGGGCGCGUAGGCGGCGGGGUAAGUCUGGUGUGAAAUCUCGGAGCUCAACUCCGAAAUUGCACUGGAUACUGCUCUGCUAGAGGGCUGGAGAGGAGAUCGGAAUUCACGGUGUAGCAGUGAAAUGCGUAGAUAUCGUGAGGAAGACCAGUGGCGAAGGCGGAUCUCUGGACAGCUCCUGACGCUGAGGCGCGAAGGCUAGGGUAGCAAACGGG